rnacentral:rRNA from 1 species
GACGAACGCUGGCGGCGUGCCUAAUACAUGCAAGUCGAGCGCAGGAAACUGACGGAACUCUUCGGAGGGAAGGCAGUGGAAUGAGCGGCGGACGGGUGAGUAACACGUAAGGAACCUGCCUCAAGGAUUGGGAUAACUCCGAGAAAUCGGAGCUAAUACCGGAUAGUUCAUCGGACCGCAUGGUCCGUUGAUGAAAGGCGCUCCGGCGUCACCUUGAGAUGGCCUUGCGGUGCAUUAGCCAGUUGGUGGGGUAACGGCCCACCAAGGCGACGAUGCAUAGCGGACCUGAGAGGGUGAUCGGCCACACUGGGACUGAGACACGGCCCAGACUCCUACGGGAGGCAGCAGUAGGGAAUCUUCCACAAUGGACGAAAGUCUGAUGGAGCAACGCCGCGUGAGUGAUGAAGGUUUUCGGAUCGUAAAACUCUGUUGUAAGGGAAGAACACGUACGAGAGGGAAUGCUCGUACCUUGACGGUACCUUACGAGAAAGCCACGGCUAACUACGUGCCAGCAGCCGCAGUAAUAC